GCCUGAUGCAGCGACGCCGCGUGAGGGAUGACGGCCUUCGGGUUGUAAACCUCUUUCAGUAGGGAAGAAGCGAAAGUGACGGUACCUGCAGAAGAAGCGCCGGCUAACUACGUGCCAGCAGCCGCGGUAAUACGUAGGGCGCAAGCGUUAUCCGGAAUUAUUGGGCGUAAAGAGCUCGUAGGCGGUUUGUCGCGUCUGCCGUGAAAGUCCGGGGCUCAACUCCGGAUCUGCGGUGGGUACGGGCAGACUAGAGUGAUGUAGGGGAGACUGGAAUUCCUGGUGUAGCGGUGAAAUGCGCAGAUAUCAGGAGGAACACCGAUGGCGAAGGCAGGUCUCUGGGCAUUAACUGACGCUGAGGAGCGAAAGCAUGGGGAGCGAACAGGAUUAGAUACCCUGGUAGUCCAUGCCGUAAACGUUGGGCACUAGGUGUGGGGGACAUUCCACGUUUUCCGCGCCGUAGCUAACGCAUUAAGUGCCCCGCCUGGGGAGUACGGCCGCAAGGCUAAAACUCAAAGGAAUUGACGGGGGCCCGCACAAGCGGCGGAGCAUGCGGAUUAAUUCGAUGCAACGCGAAGAACCUUACCAAGGCUUGACAUGGGCCGGACCGGGCUGGAAACAGUCCUUCCCCUUUGGGGCC
rnacentral:rRNA from 1 species